GAUCAUGGCUCAGGAUGAACGCUGGCGGCGUGCCUAAUACAUGCAAGUCGUACGAGGGAAGUCCAGCUUGCUGGACGGAACGAGUGGCGAACGGGUGAGUAAUACGUAAGCAACCUGCCUGCAAGGACUGGGAUAACACCUGGAAACGGGCGCUAAUACCGGAUAGGUAACAAAGGGGCAUCCCUAUGUUAUUAAAGGUUAGAAACACAAGCAGAUGGGCUUACGGUGCAUUAGCUAGUUGGUGAGGUAACGGCCCACCAAGGCGAUGAUGCAUAGCCGGCCUGAGAGGGUGAACGGCCACAUUGGGACUGAGACACGGCCCAGACUCCUACGGGAGGCAGCAGUAGGGAAUUUUCGGCAAUGGACGAAAGUCUGACCGAGCAACGCCGCGUGAGUGAAGAAGGUUUUCGGAUUGUAAAGCUCUGUUGUAAGGGAAGAACAGCACGGAAAGAAUCCGUGAAUGACGGUACCUUACCAGAAAGCCACGGCUAACUACGUGCCAGCAGCAGC
rnacentral:rRNA from 1 species